UACGGAGGGUGCAAGCGUUAUCCGGAUUCACUGGGUUUUAAGGGUGCGUAGGUGGGCAGGUAAGUCAGUGGUGAAAUCUCCGGGCUUAACUCGGAAACUGCCAUUGAUACUAUCUUUCUUGAAUACCGUGGAGGUCAGCGGAAUAUGUCAUGUAGCGGUGAAAUGCUUAGAUAUGACAUAGAACACCAAUUGCGAAGGCAGCUGGCUACACGAAUAUUGACACUGAUGCACGAAAGCGUGGGGAUCAAACAGG
rnacentral:rRNA from 1 species